AUGUGGUCACUCGAAAGCUUUUGUCUUUUUUGUCCUGAGCAUUUUUCAAAAUAUAUGCUACAAGAAUUUCUUUUCCUGAUUGCAGAGUCAUACUCAGAGGCAGUCCGCUUACUAAAAAUAAUACAAGAGGACGAAGAUGGAGUUACUACAGACCCCGAGCAACUCGGCCGUGGUUGUCGGAGCCCCAAACGGAAGCGAAUUCUCUCAUCAUCGGAAGAAGAUAAUUCACAGGUCAAAAAAGCUAAAUUGAAAAUAGGCGGAGGAAGAAAAAAGUCAAGGGAAGUGCGCAGUAACGCGCAAAACCUAUGUACAUCAAGUUUACAGGAUUUUAAAAUCCCUCAUUGUAAAUCUUUUAGAAUUCCAUCGCCAACUUUAAGCUCAAGUAUUAAACAAAGUAAUUCCAAAGCUGGAAACCCAACAUAUGCCACAUCAACCCAAAAACCAUUUUUGUCACCUCUGAUGGACAUCAGCAACAUUUACCCAACCCUAAAUCUUACUGAUCAAGCAGAAAAAAACAAAGAAACUGGUCCUCUGAAAAACAGUGUGCCUCAAAAUCGACUUAAUCCAAGGCCUUUGCCGGUCAGAAGCAUCAAAGAAAGUCAUUCUUCGAAGAACACUGCUCCUCAGAAUCAAAAGCCCACAAAUCAAAGGCCUGCAGUGGCAAAAAUCGAUGGCAAUCAAUCUCGGCCAAAAAAUGUUCCUCAAAAUGGAAAUUCUGUGAACAAACGGCCCACGGUAGGAAAAAUUGUUUCUCAGAAUCGAAAUCUUAUUAACCAACGGCCCACAACAGGAAACGUCACAGUUGGAAAUCGAUCUCGGAUAAACAGUAUUCCUCAGAAUAGAAAUCCUCCGAAUCAACGACCAGCAGCAGCAAACAUUAAUAAAAAUGGAUCUGCGAUAAAGAAUGUUUCUCAGGUUCUCCGAGAUAUCAGAAAUAAUCUAAAUCGUCAACCUGCGGCAGGAAACAUCAACAGAAAUACAUCUCGGACUAAUACUGUUCCUAACCAGCACACUGAUGUUCCAAUAAUGUUGCUUCGUGUAGAAGGUAUGUGA
rnacentral:lncRNA from 1 species